AGACAACCAGGAGGUUGGCUUAGAAGCAGCCACCCUUGAAAGAGUGCGUAAUAGCUCACUGGUCAAGUGAUUCCGCGCCGACAAUGUAACGGGGCUCAAGCACACCACCGAAGUUGUAGAUUUCGUAUUAUAGACAAGCCUUCGUGGUUCAGUCGUACGGAGUGGUAGGAGAGCGUCGUGUGGCCAGUGAAGCGGCGGUGUAAACCAGCCGUGGAGGCCACACGAGUGAGAAUGCAGGCAUGAGUAGCGAAAGACGGGUGAGAAACCCGUCCUCCGAAAGACCAAGGGUUCCAGGGCCAGGUUAAUCCGCCCUGGGUAAGUCGGGACCUAAGGCGAGGCCGACAGGCGUAGUCGAUGGACAACGGGUUGAUAUUCCCGUACCGGCGAACAACCGCCCAAGCUAAUCCAGUGGUGCUAAGAGUCCUAACCCGGAUUCUCCGGAUCCCUUCGGGGUGAUGGGAGCCGGUCUAACGCUCGACCCCAUGCUGGUGCGGUUAGCGUAUGAACAGGUGUGACGCAGGAAGGUAGCUGAGCCAGGCGAUGGUAUCCGUAAGGUGAUCCUGGUGUAAGGAUGUAGGGCUGACGAUAGGCAAAUCCGUCGUCUGUACGCCUGAGAUCCGAUGCGUACCCGUAAGGGGAAAUCAGUGAUCCUAUGCUGCCGAGAAAAGCAUCGACGCGAGGUUGCAGCCGCCCGUACCCGAAACCGACUCAGGUGGUCAGGUAGAGAAUACCAAGGAGAUCGAGAUAAUCGUGGUUAAGGAACUCGGCAAAAUGCCCCCGUAACUUCGGGAGAAGGGGGGCCGGAUACGUGACCGGACUUGCUCCGUGAGCGUUGAAGGCCGCAGAGACCAGUGGGAAGCGACUGUUUACUAAAAACACAGGUCCGUGCGAAGUCGCAAGACGAUGUAUACGGACUGACGCCUGCCCGGUGCUGGAAGGUUAAGAGGAAGGGUCAGCCGCAAGGCGAAGCUCAGAAUUUAAGCCCCAGUAAACGGCGGUGGUAACUAUAACCAUCCUAAGGUAGCGAAAUUCCUUGUCGGGUAAGUUCCGACCUGCACGAAUGGCGUAACGACUUCCCAGCUGUCUCAACCGCGAACUCGGCGAAAUUGCA
rnacentral:rRNA from 1 species